rnacentral:rRNA from 1 species
AUUGAACGCUGGCGGCAGGCCUAACACAUGCAAGUCGAGCGAGCGGCGGACGGGUGAGCAAUGUCUGGGAAAAUGCCUGAGGGAGGGGGAUAACUACUGGAAACGGUAGCUAAUACAGCAUACCAUCAGAUGUGCCCCGAUGGGAGUAGCUCGUAGGUGGGGUAACGGCUCACCUAGGCGACGAGCCCUAGCUGGUCUGAGCGGAUGACCAGCCACACUGGAACGGAGACACGGUCCAGACUCCUACGGGAGGCAGCAGUGGGGAAUAUUGCACAAUGGGCGCAAGCCUGAUGCAGCCAUGCCGCGUGUGUGAAGAAGGCCUUCGGGUUGUAAAGCACUUUCAGCGGGGAGGCGUUACCCGCAGAAGAAGCACCGGCUAACUCCGUGCCAGCAGCCGCGGUAAUAC